UGUAAUGAAUUGCUGUAAAAAUUACAGCCAUAUUUUACAGCCGCUGGCUGUUUUCUAAUAAUACAGCAUUUUGCUGUAAACUGCAAUGCAUUCUGGGGCCGCGUGGCGGUUUGAUUCAAAAUACAGAAUAUUGCUGUAAAUUUCAAAUCGACACAGAGGCAUUGUGAUCUUCAACGGUCGUGUCGUCGACUUUCGGAUAGCGGCAAGAGGAGUGAUUCUCAACUGGUAAGUGACUUAUUUCAGUUUCUUAUGUUUCAUGUUGUGUUACUCGUAGACUAUGAAGGUAAUGUUAUAUUCGCGGUUCAUAUUGGUUACCGAGGAUCACGCAUCCUCCGUACGGGGCGCGAGGGAGACUUGCGCGGGGCUUCAGCAGCCCAGACGCGGGAGACACUUUGACAAGAGGACACUGGAAGGCCAAGUUGUGUGUGAGGAGAGCAUUCAGCCCAGCUUCCUGUCUGGCCUUGCUACUGUUCACUGCAUAUUAUUACAUAUUCAAUCAGGAGGAGCCAGCCUGCACCUUGGAGUUCAUAAUUAGAGAGGAACAAAGAAGAAAAUUGCCAUCUAAAAGGACAGGGCAAAUGGUACAGAAGAAACAGGUUGCAGUGAACCCACGUGUUGCCACUCUUCCCUGCAAAGUGGUGUGUUCAGUGGAAUUUCUGAAAUCCACUCUUUGCAUCCUGUGAUGGAACAGCAUCCGGAGCUGAAUUAUUCUCCAUUUUUGAUCAUACGUGUUUUGGACUCACUUGGGGCCUUGUUGUUUGGACAUGUUUGUCUGGGAACGAAGAGGUGACAAUUCAUUCAUGUCUGUUUUUUUUUUUUUUUUUUCAGAACCAUUUUAUUUUGAUCAUGUUGGUCAACUUGUUGUUUUAAAUGUCAUUUGCGUAUUUCUUCUUUGUGUGAAGGGCCCUGAUGGCUUAUUUGUUUUAAGUAAUUAAAAAAAAAAAAAUUUCAUGUCCAUUUGUAAAUAAUAAUUAAAAAAUA